GGGAAUUUUGCACAAUGGGCGCAAGCCUGAUGCAGCGACGCCGCGUGGGGGAUGAAUGCCUUCGGGUUGUAAACCCCUUUCAGGAGGGACGAAGCGAAAGUGACGGUACCUCCAGAAGAAGCCCCGGCCAACUACGUGCCAGCAGCCGCGGUAAUACGUAGGGGGCGAGCGUUGUCCGGAUUUAUUGGGCGUAAAGAGCUCGUAGGCGGCUCAACAAGUCGGCCGUGAAAGCCUGAGGCUCAACCUCAGGACGCCGGUCGAAACUGUUGUGGCUAGGGUUCGGUAGAGGAGAGUGGAAUUCCCGGUGUAGCGGUGAAAUGCGCAGAUAUCGGGAGGAACACCAGUAGCGA
rnacentral:rRNA from 1 species